GUCAAAAGUGGGGGUUUCCUUGGGCAUCGGAGUGUAGGUGAGCGCAAUUGGGUUAGGUGAGACGGGGACGGGGGUUGAAGGUGGCGCCGGCAAGAGCCCCAGAGGCAGGAGCCUGGGCAGGGACGGCGGUGGACGCCGGUAUCGGGGCUCGAGGGGCGGGGGAGGUAGCGGAUGGAAGGAACCAGGGAAGCGACGGGUUCAGGGGUGGCGGCCGCCACUCGUAUUGGGUCUAGGGGAUUGGUGUAGCUACGUACGGAAGGGAUCACUGCACUGGUGGCUGUCGGGGCAGGUGGCCCCGGAAGUGGCUGGUGGCGAUCGGGAGAGCUUCCUGGUUCUGUUGCGGGAGGUGAGAGAGGAGAGUCCCUUUCUAGGAAGGAUAAGAAGGAGAGACCUUCCUGGUCCUGUAGCGGGAGAAGAAGAAGGAGAGUCCCUUUCUAAGGUAUACACGAACACGAUCUCCGUACGGCGACCGUGGCAACCCGGGAGUAAAUACAAUAUGUUCGGUAAACUCCUAUACUGCACUACUCGAUAAAAAAUCAGUUGCGUACCGCUCAGGUGAACCUUGACUUAUCGACUAGACUAUCACACCCACCCUAUAUGUUUUGUUGGAACUCUACACAGGCGCUGGUUAGGUGUAAGCCGUGUUGAGGGUGUUGAACUUGUGGUUCGAGAAACGGUAAAUUUACCAACUCUCUUAUUUGACCUACCUACUGGUUAGGCUCUUCCCGUAACUUGUUUCACAUCCAUAGUACCAGUCAAUAGAGAUUCUUAAGAUCCAUGAAUCGGUUGACCACGUGUACCUGCACUACUGAAACGUCGCAAAUGCCUGGUUGGUUGAACAUUAGUACCUAGAAUACACAACAUCUGGUAAACCACUAAAACAAUAAAACCUCGACCGUAAAACACGUACACCUAUGUCUGAACACACAAGACCUAGUAGAUCAACUUCAAAGAGUAUGGCCGUUUAUCACAGUAGAAAAACACUGAACACACAAGACCCACUAAUAACUCUACCAUUUUUGAUACGAAACAGUUCUAACUACACAAACAGUUGAACACAAGUUACAUAUACGUACAAACACUUAUAUAAAGUAACAAC
rnacentral:rRNA from 1 species